rnacentral:rRNA from 2 species
UUCCCAUUCCGAACACAGAAGUUAAGCUCUCUAGCGCUGAUGGUACUUGGUGGGAAACUGCCUGGGAGAGUAGGACGUAGCCACGUA